AGAGCGAACGCUGGCGGCAGGCCUAACACAUGCAAGUCGAGCGCCGUAGCAAUACGGAGCGGCAGACGGGAGAGUAACACGUGGGAACGUACCCUUCAGUUCGGAACAACCCAGGGAAACUUGGGCUAAUACCGAAUACGUCCGUAAGGAGAAAGAUUUAUCGCUGAAGGAUCGGCCCGCGUCUGAUUAGCUUGUUGGUGAGGUAAUGGCUCACCAAGGCUACGAUCAGUAGCUGGUCUGAGAGGAUGAUCAGCCUCACUGGGACUGAGACACGGCCCAGACUCCUACGGGAGGCAGCAGUGGGGAAUAUUGGACAAUGGGCGCAAGCCUGAUCCAGCCAUGCCGCGUGGGUGAUGAAGGCCCUAGGGUUGUAAAGCCCUUUCGGCGGGAAGAUAGUGACGGUACCCGCAGAAGAAGCCCCGGCUAACUUCGUGCCAGCAGCCGC
rnacentral:rRNA from 1 species